rnacentral:misc_RNA from 1 species
AUAAGUAUACACUCAUACGUACGGCCACAUUCGGUAGGAAUAACACGUGGAGCGUACUCCCUGCCUGCUGCGCCUCGGUGAUGCUGUGUGCAGAAGGUACCAAUCGUCGCGCUCUUCUUUAUCUGUGUUGUGCAGCCUACAGGUACCCACACGCACGCGCGCACGCAAGGGGACCUUCAACGCGCAUUGUGCGAGCGAGCACAGCCGGGCGAGAUAACGAAAAGAGCGGUGCGGGCAGGACGCAGUGCGCCGCAACAAAACAGGGAGGCAGAGACGUUCACCAGCAUGAGCAACAACUACUCGCCUUUCUCGACUGCGCCCGUCGCGCGUGGCACCGGUGUGUCGGCGGCCUAUAACCACCAUCUGCAUCAGCAUCACCAUGCGAGUAGUAGCAACAGCAACGGUCUCAUGGAUGGAAUGCUGCCACCGCCGCUAGGGGCCCGGUCGCCGGGUGUUCCGGCAGCGGCGGUCAUCGGCAGGGGUGGUAGCGGGGGUGGCAUGCUGCCGUAUCCGAUUCCGCCUCCUCAGUCUCAGCAGCAGCAGCAGCACGCGACAUCCGCCUCCAUCAUGAGCACUUGCGGUCCAACAGGCAACGUCGGUGCGGGAAUGCCCAGCAGCGGCCCAGCCGUCCCGGCACCCCGGUCCGCCGCCACCCUACUUGCUGAGGCCACCGGCGCGCCACCGCCGCCGCCGGCUCCAUCGCGCGUGCCAGGCAACACCGCAAGCAUGGCUUCUGCUGCUGCUGCUGCUGGAGGUCUCGCUGCGGGCAUUGCCGGUGCGACGGCAGCAGCGCCACUGCUUGGUGCUCCUUCGGUGCCGACUAUUACGCCGUCCUUGGCAGCGCUAGCGGCAACAGCGCCCGAUUCGGCUGCCGCGGCGUCGGCGGCCGCAUUAGUGUCGCCAUCUUUCAAGGUCUUCACCACAUCUGCGGCGGCCAUGCUGUCAUCGAUGGCGGAGGCUGGCGGGUUGGCGGACCCAGUAGAGGGCGCUGGUGGUACCGCCGCCUGCUCCGUAGCUGGUGCCACGGUUGCCGCCGCUGCUGCAGCAUCCGCCGCGACUUCCUUUAUGCCGGCACGGCCGCCUGCCAUCAACCCUCACUCCAAGGUUGAAAUCCAGUUUACGCUGCCGACCACACAGGAGCGCGUUGACGCAGACGAGUGUGACGCGUUCGGCUUCGAGGAAGAGUCGGAAGAUGACUAUGCCGCCGACAUCCUUACGCAAGUCUUGAUGACGAUCAAGGACGUCGACCGCAAUAAUGAUCCGGAGGAGGCGGAUCUGGAGCUGCGUGGAAAGGAGUGGUACACCUUCAUCCUCGACAGCGGCGACGCCCGCCAGGCAGCAGCGGCUCUAAAGGCGAAGAUGUCGCAGCUGACGGACAACGAACUGCGUGUGAUGCUGAACGGCUUGGCCAGCGCUAUCAUCUAUCACAACACCUGGGCCGCUGUCUUGCACUUGGGGAUCCAAGAGAAGGCCACGCUGCGCCAUCUGGUCCUGCGCAUUGUCCUGAAGAUGCUCGUCGCGCACCGCUGUAUGCCGUGCGAGGCAGAGAAGUACGUGGCAGUUCUGGUAAAGAUGCUCAUCGUAGGCUGGGUAAGCAUGAAGGGAACUCUCGACACCGUCGAGCUGUGCCUGCAGCACGAUGAGCUUAUCCAUAUCGGGCUGCGCAUCGUUGAGCACAGUUUCCAUAAGUCGCGAAGAGUCUUAGAACUUCGCGCCGCCUUAGCGACUCGGCCGCGUCUUGCGCGGCGCCUCGCGGAGCUGUACGCCACGGAGCCACGGUUUGAAGUGGAUGUCGCGCUUGUCACACGCUGGUGGCGCGGGACACCGCCGACAAUCUACUGCUCCGUGCCGAUGGAGAACUCCCAAGGGGAUUCGCUGUCGAACCCCGUGACGUGCAUGGCGUACUUCGGCGUCCGUGAUGAGGUGGUGACAGGUGACAUGAGCGGCGCAGUCACUCUUUGGGGCCCGCCGGGGUCGUCCCGUCAGCCGUCGGCCAAGAACCCGUUAGGGCUCCCGCACGUGAGCGUUCGCCCCCGUGGCGUCGUGCCGCUGCCGAUGAACUGCGUCCCUGUCGCGAUGGCUGGCCAGCGCUUGGAUGGGCAAUACCUUGCCAUCGCCGGCAUGCCGUUCAAGUCGCGCAAGCCGUACUCGAAGUACUGUGGGCGACCGGCCGUUAGGCCGUCCUCGACUUCGGCUGCUGCCACCGCGAUGGCGGCCGCCGAUGGUGCGGUGGACGGAGCGUGCGUGGCAGGGGAUGCGGCGAGCAUGGCGGCAGGGGCGGCGGUUGGCACAGGCAGCGCCGGCGCCAUCAUCGUCAUCACAUGCAACGAGAACUCGAUCCGGUGGAACAAGGGCGAGAUCGUCAUGCGGCCGCCAGGAAUUGCCCUGACCGCGAUCACGGCGUUCCGAAACUCCAUCGUUGUCGUCGGCGAGAGCGCUGUCAGCGCCGCUGCCGCUGGUGGGCCCGGUGCGGCGGGUGUGUUGAGCGGCAACGCCAGCGCCCCUCACAGACUCAGCUUUGUCGAUGUCAUGAGCGGCAGCGUCAUGCGCCAACUUCCCAAGGCGCAUGACGACUACAUCACCGCGCUGACAGUGCUCGAGGAGAGCAGCUACGUUCUUCUCUCCGGCGGCCGCGAUGCCGCGGUGAAGAUGUGGGACCCGCGCUCGCGCGAGGACACCCCUGUCGUAAACACAGCGCUCUGCACCGGCGCGCUCCACCACGAGACCACCAUCUCUUCGAUCCACACGACCCGCUACAACAUCAUCACAACUGACGUCUACGGUGCCAUGGUCGUGUGGGACCUCCGCAACAUGGCGGCGCCCUACAAGCGGCAUCAAUUCGCGUACCCUAUCGCAGAGGCUACGCUCAUUCAACAGAAUCGUGCUGCACUCGCGACGACGCGCGGUAUCAUGACGGUCUCGCUUGACACGCUUGGGCCACAGGACCUGUACUACGAUAAGGGCAUCUGCACCCGUCUGCUGGCGAACGACGCCGGCAACCUCCUCUUCGUAGCGCGGGAGGGCGAGCUGGACGUGUUUGCCGUGUCGAACUUCUAACCCUGCAGAGAAAAGGAGGGUAUCAUCUUGGAGGUGGCGAUUGAAACGGACGACAAGAAGUGAGGGUGGAUGGAGGGUGGGGGGUGGCAGGAAGCGUCGCCGAUGAGGCGCGCAUGUGUAGGUGAUCACCGUCCUCCGCCAUAUAAGGCACCCAUGUCACGUGAUGCGGUGCUCGCUAGAAAGAGAGAGACACACCAUGCGGCGCGCACGGAAGGUGGCAGAGGUGCGGGGGCGACGCUUUACCGGUGGUCUGUUCCUUUUUGUUUUGCGUGCGUGUGCGCCUGCUUGCCCGAAUGUCCUCUGCUGUGUGCACGUUGACUGCAUGUAUACAUGCGUGUGUUUGUGUGGUGGUUGCAUGCAAGGCGCAUCUGCCCCCCCCUUCUUCAUGCUCUCCUCUUUUAUACCCUCACCUUGUGUUGUUCUUCAUAACUGUUGUGGUGAAGCGUGUGAGUGCUUUUGGUGUGCUUGUGGGUUCGUAAUGGCGCUGCCGAAAGCUAACUCGACAACUAGAAGCGGAGAGCUGAAGCAAGGAGCGCACGGUUCUUCCCCCUGCCUUUGCACCCCAC